rnacentral:rRNA from 1 species
AACGAACGCUGGCGGCAUGCCAAACACAUGCAAGUCGAACGAAGGCUUCGGCCUUAGUGGCGCACGGGUGCGUAACGCGUGGGAACCUGCCCUUAGGUUCGGAAUAACAGUUAGAAAUGACUGCUAAUACCGGAUAAUGUCUUCGGACCAAAGAUUUAUCGCCUUUGGAUGGGCCCGCGUAAGAUUAGGUAGUUGGUGGGGUAAAGGCCUACCAAGCCGACGAUCUUUAGCUGGUCUGAGAGGAUGAUCAGCCACACUGGGACUGAGACACGGCCCAGACUCCUACGGGAGGCAGCAGUGGGGAAUAUUGGACAAUGGGCGAAAGCCUGAUCCAGCAAUGCCGCGUGAGUGAUGAAGGCCUUAGGGUUGUAAAGCUCUUUUACCAGGGAUGAUAAUGACAGUACCUGGAGAAUAAGCUCCGGCUAACUCCGUGCCAGCCGCCGCGGUAAUAC